rnacentral:tRNA from 1 species
GCGUUGGUGGUUCAGUGGUGGAAUUCCUGCCUGCCACGCUGGAGACCCGUGUCCGAUUCCCGGCCAAUGCA